UGGGAAUUUCAGAAAAUAUACAACCUUAUUUAUUUGUAUUAUACAAUCAUACAUACUACUUGUUAUAAAAUGCAAAUUACAUAGAAAUGUUUAAAACAUUGCAAAAAGGAAAAUGCCUUCAUCAAAAACUUUUUUUUAUCCUAUCCUAACCCUUUCCCGAAGGCUAAGUACAUUGUUAAAAGUUCACUAUGCAUUUGUAAGGGCGUGCAUAUUUGUAUAUACGUGUAUGUACAUUUACAUAGUCACAUGAGAAACUUGCAUAUUAGAAUCAAUGGGUUUGUGACUAAUAUAAAUAUUAAGAAAUAUUAAAACAACACACACUAUUUUUUCAAACUUUAUUAGCCCUGUUAAGAGUAUGUCAGGUUGCAAUAAGAAAUUAAUUCCCAAAUUUGAAUAGAUUAAUAAAACAGAUUUAUUUCUCACUUAGGUAAUAGUAUAAUGCAAGUGAGUCAGGAACUCUAUUACAUAAAUAAAGUCAUUCAGCACCUCCGACUGACAAAGAUUCCACUUUUUGUAGUUGUAUCACUUAAAACAUGUAGCCUCUUUUCUAGGCUUCAGCCAGGAAGUAGCACGCUUUACUUCCCUUUACAGCACACAUUGGGCAGAACUGGUCAUAUUUUCUUGCCUUACUACAAUGGUACAGAGAUAUGUUGGAAAGCACAUUUGUAGUCACCAAGCAGUAAACAACUCUCACAUGCUGACUCACAAGCACAUCAUACUACUUGUCACGUGUGUCCGUGUGAAGAGACCACCAAACAGGCUUUGUGUGAGCAAUAAACUGUUUUAAUCACCCGGGUGCAGGCGGUCUGAGUCCGAAAAGAGUGUUAGAGAAGGGAUAUAGGGCUGGGGCUGUUUUAUAGGAUUUGGGUGGGUAGUAGAAAAUUACAGUCAAAGGGGGUUGUUCUCUAAUGGGGAGGGGCAGGGGUCACAAGGUGCUCAGUUGGGGAGCUUCUGAGCCAAGAGAAGGAAUUUCACAAGGUUAAUUGCUCAGUUAAGGUGGGGCAGAAACAAAUCACAGUGGUGGAAUGUCAUCAGUUAGGGCAGAAACUAGCCAUUUUCACUUCUUUUGUGAUUCUUCACUUGCUUCAGGCCAUCUGGAUGUAUACGUGCAGGUCACAGGGCAUAUGAUGGCUUAGCUUGGGCUCAGAGGCCUGACAUUCCUGUCUUCUUAUAUUAAUAAGAAAAAUAACAUAAAAUAGUGUUGAAGUGUUGGGGCAGCAAAAAUUUUUUUGUGGUGGUAUGGAGGGAUAAUGGGCGAUGUUUCUCAGGGCUACUUCGAGCAGGAUUAGGGAACCUAGAGUGGGAGAGAUUAAGCUGAAGGAAGAUUUUGUGGUAAGGGAUAAUAUUGUGGGGUUGUUAGAAGGAGCAUUUGUCAUAUAGAAUGAUUGGUGAUGGCCUGGAUACGGUUUUGGAUGAAUUGAGAAACUAAAUGGAAGACACAGGGUCUGGAUAAGGGAAGGAGAAAAACAGAUAUUAGAGGACUAAGAAUUGGGAGUACCAAGGACAACCAAUUAGAGAGUGCCUAAGAGGGUUCAGCAUAAUUACUUGCUUGGUUGGCAAGUUUAGCUCUAUCCUUGAGUUUUUUUAUGUUGUCAUACACCAGGCAAGAUUUAUUUAGGUAAAAACAACACUUUUCAUUUAAAAAUAUACACAGUCCUUUUUUUUUUUUUUUUUUUUUUGCAGUGAGUAAGUUGAGGCCUCGGUGAUUUUGGAGGAAGAGAAAUGCAAAGCCAGCAAUUGUUUGUUAAAGAAGGAUUAGAAACAGCUAGGAGAGACUGAGAGAGAUUGAUAGUGUGGUGGAGAUAGCUGGGGAGAAGUAGAGGGUGGCAUAAGAACGGGAAUGAGAAAAAGAAUGUGUAUAAAAGUAAAGAAUAGGACUUCAUCAGGGUGAAAGUACUGGAGUGUACCCUGUCAGCAAAGAUUAUCUACUUUAAGAGAGACUUAAGGGUGGAGGUUUGAGGUAAAACCAAGAGAUGUCAGUUAUGAUGGUUUGAAGGAAAAGUAUAAACUGGCAAUGUAAACAAGGGCAGGGUAUUUAUGAGUAGUUGAGAAUGGUGAAUAGGAGCAUGACUAGACAGAAGAUAGUAGGGAUGACAAGUUUUUGGGGUGCAGUUCAAGUUGGGGCAGUGUCAGGAAUGAGACUGGGGCCUAAUAAAAUGGAGUGUCCAUACAGGAGCUUAAAUGGGCUGUACCCUGUAGCACCCCAAGGACAGACCUGAAUUCUGAGAAGGGCAAGGGGUAAAAGUAUUGUCCAGUCCUUUUUAAGUUGGAGGCUGAGCUUGGUGAGGUGUGUUUUUAAAAGACCAUUAGUCUGUUUUACCUUUCCUGAAGACUGAGGAUGGUAAGUGGUAUGAGGGUUCCACUGAAUACCAACAGCCUGAGAAACUGCUUGGGUGAUUUGACUAAUAAAGGCUGGUCCGUUAUCGGACUGUAUAGAGGUGGGAAGGCCAAAUCGAGGAAUUAUAUCUGACAGAAGGGAAGAAAUGAUUGUGGUGGCCUUCUCAGACCCUGUGGGAAAGGCCUCUAAUCAUCCAGUGAAAGCGUCCACCCAGACCAAGAACUAUUUUAGUUUCCUGACUCCAGGCAUGUGAGUAAAGUCAAUUUGCCAGUCCUGGGCAGGGGUGAAUCCCCAAGCUUGAUGUGUAGGGAAGGGAGGUGGCCUGAGAAAUUCCUGAGGAGUAGUAGAAUAGCAGAUGGAACACUGAGAAGUGAUUUUUUGAGGAUAGAUUUUUAUGAUGGAGAGGGAAAGAGAGGUUUUAAGAGGCAGGCUAGCGGCUUGUAACUUGCAUGGAAGAGGUUAUGAAAUGAUGACAGAAUAGAAUGGGCCUGUGAGGCUAGAAGGAGAUAUUUUCCUUGGUCCAAGAACUAUUUGCCUUGUGUUGGAAGAGAUUGAUAGGUGGAAGUUUCAGUUGGGGAGUAGGUGGGAGUGACUGAUGAGAAGGAGAAAAACUGGCUGUGAGAGACAGAAGUUGGAAUGCUAGCUGCUUCUUUAGCUACUUUAUCAGCAUAAGUGUUGCCCUGAGCAAUGGGAUCUGAUGCCUUCUUGAUGGCCUUUGCAAUGAAUGACUCCAGCUUCCUUUGGAAGUAAAGCGGCCUUGAGAAGAGUUUUUAUUAAAGAGGCAUUAAGGAUGGAGGACUUUUGCGAAGUGAAGAAACCUCUUUUUGCCCAUUUAACAGAAUGGUGGUGCAGGAUAUGGAAGGCAUAUUUAGAGUCAGUAUAAAUAUUGACACGUAGUCCUUUUGCAAGAGUGAGGGCUCGAGUUAAGGCAAUGAGUUCGGCUUGCUGAGAGGUAGUGGAGGGGGGCAGAAAGUAUAUGCAUCAGGUGUGAGGAAGAAAAUAGAUUUUGGAAGUUAUAAGAACUGUAGAGAGUGAGUUGAGCAUAGUUUGUGAUUUUGAGGGCCUCUAAAAGUAUUAAAGCAGCAGCAGCUGCUGCAUACAGACAUGAGGGCUAGGCUAAAACAGUAAGAUCAAGUUGUUUGGACAGAAAGGCUACAGGGUGUGGUCCUGGCUCUUGUGUAAGAACUCCGACUGCACAGCCCUGCACUUCAGCUUUGUUAAGAGUUACCAGAAGCAUCUGUGAUGGUCCAGGAGGCUUCCGAGGUGAUCACGCAGUGUCAGUCUUCAGCCGCUAAGCUGAGAAGAUCUGGGAAGAAGUCAGUCAGAGCCUUGGGCCAGUUGGACAGUUCAAUUUCCAGUGGGGUCCUGCACAGAUGGGACACGGCUUAGGAGGACUCCCGGGCUGCGGGCAUUCCUUGGCCCAGUGGCCAGAUUUCUGGCACUUGAAGCAAGAUCCUGGGGGAGGAAGU
rnacentral:lncRNA from 10 species